GGAUAUCUAGGUGAAAUGUCUGGAACACCUGUCACCCACAAUCUCUAAGGGUGAUUCAGCUAAUCUAUCUGCCUUCGUAGUUGUCCCCUUCCCCCCUCCCUCACCACUCUAUUUUUGUCCUUCCUGAAGCUGCAUGCUGGGUAGAAAACCACCGCUUUCCUCAUUCAAAAGAGGCAGCCAUUCUUGCAUAGAAUGGCAUACCUGUAGCUAUGCUCCCAUCCAGAACAGACAUUAAAAAAAAAAAUGCAAUCCAUCACCUCAACAAGCUACAGAAAAAAUCACAUGAACAUAUCAAUAGGU
rnacentral:snRNA from 1 species